rnacentral:rRNA from 1 species
UACGUAGGGUGCAAGCGUUGUCCGGAAUUAUUGGGCGUAAAGAGCUCGUAGGCGGUCUGUCACGUCGGCUGUGAAAUCCCGAGGCUCAACCUCGGGUCUGCAGUCGAUACGGGCAAACUAGAGUAUUGCAGGGGAGACUGGAAUUCCUGGUGUAGCGGUGAAAUGCGCAGAUAUCAGGAGGAACACCGGUGGCGAAGGCGGGUCUCUGGACCGAUACUGACGCUGAGGCGCGAAAGCGUGGGGAGCAAACAGG